AGAGUUUGAUCAUGGCUCAGAGCGAACGCUGGCGGCGGGCUUAACACAUGCAAGUCGAACGGACGUAGCAAUACGUCAGUGGCAGACGGGUGAGUAACACGUGGGAACGUGCCCUUCGGUCCGGAACAACCCAGGGAAACUUGGGCUAAUACCGGAUACGUCCGCAAGGAGAAAGAUUUAUCGCCGAAGGAUCGGCCCGCGUCUGAUUAGCUUGUUGGUGAGGUAACGGCUCACCAAGGCGACGAUCAGUAGCUGGUCUGAGAGGAUGAUCAGCCACACUGGGACUGAGACACGGCCCAGACUCCUACGGGAGGCAGCAGUGGGGAAUAUUGGACAAUGGGCGCAAGCCUGAUCCAGCCAUGCCGCGUGGGUGAUGAAGGCCUUAGGGUUGUAAAGCCCUUUCGGCGGGGAAGAUAAUGACGGUACCCGCAGAAGAAGCCCCGGCUAACUUCGUGCCAGCAGCCGCGGUAAUACGAAGGGGGUUAGCGUUGCUCGGAAUCACUGGGCGUAAAGCGCACGUAGGCGGAUUGCUAAGUCAGGGGUGAAAUCCUGGAGCUCAACUCCAGAACUGCCCUUGAUACUGGCGACCUUGAGUCCGGGAGAGGUGAGUGGAACUGCGAGUGUAGAGGUGAAAUUCGUAGAUAUUCGCAAGAACACCAGUGGCGAAGGCGGCUCACUGGCCCGGUACUGACGCUGAGGUGCGAAAGCGUGGGGAGCAAACAGGAUUAGAUACCCUAGUAGUCC
rnacentral:rRNA from 1 species